AUCCUUAGUUGGUUCAUAAGUGUGACUGUGUUUCACACCCCUGUGUGAGAUGUGCUCUUCUCAAACUUUGCUGCAAUGCCAGCACACCAACCGUGUUAUA